UUAUACCGCGAAACUGCGAAUGGCUCAUUAAAUCAGUUAUCGUCUAUUUGAUAGUACCUUACUACUUGGAUAACCGUGGUAAUUCUAGAGCUAAUACAUGCUGAAAAUCCCGACUUCGGAAGGGUUGUAUUUAUUAGAUUAAAAACCAAUGCCCUUCGGGGCUCCCUGGUGAUUCAUAAUAACUUCUCGAAUCGCACGGCCUUGCGCCGGCGAUGGCUCAUUCAAAUUUCUGCCCUAUCAACUUUCGACGGCUUGGUCUUGGCCAGCCGUGGUGACAACGGGUAACGGAGGGUUAGGGCUCGGCCCCGGAGAAGGAGCCUGAGAAACGGCUACUACAUCCAAGGAAGGCAGCAGGCGCGCAAAUUACCCAAUCCCGAUACGGGGAGGUAGUGACAAUAAAUACUGAUACAGGGCUCUUUUGGGUCUUGUAAUUGGAAUGAGUACAAUUUAAUUCCCUUAACGAGGAACAAUUGGAGGGCAAGUCUGGUGCCAGCAGCCGCGGUAAUUCCAGCUCCAAUAGCGUAUAUUAAAGUUGUUGCAGUUAAAAAGCUCGUAGUUGAACCUUGGGCCUGGCUGGCCGGUCCGCCUCACCGCGUGCACUGGUCCGGCCGGGCCUUUCCCUCUGGGGAACCGCAUGCCCUUCACUGGGCGUGUCGGGGAACCAGGACUUUUACUUUGAAAAAAUUAGAGUGUUCAAAGCAGGCUUAUGCUCGGAUACAUUAGCAUGGAAUAAUAGAAUAGGACGUGCGGUUCUAUUUUGUUGGUUUCUAGGACCGCCGUAAUGAUUAAUAGGGACAGUCGGGGGCAUCAGUAUUCAGUUGUCAGAGGUGAAA
rnacentral:rRNA from 1 species